rnacentral:lncRNA from 1 species
UAAAGAAUACUGUAACAAUACACAUAGCUUAUAGUAUAUUCUAACAUGAACAACAAUCACAUUCACACAAAAAAAUAUGAAGAAAAGACGGGGAAAAAAUCAUAAAUGUAUGGAUCAUAUGUCAAAUAACACAUCCACUGAAUGGGGACCAAAAGCACAUGUUCACAUAUAACUUCAUGAGCAGAAUAAAGAUUCCAGAUCAACAAUCACAGAGAAAAUACGAUCACAGUUUUACUGCUAAUUUCAUCCUUGAAGAACCCAUUUACUCCCAAAACAGUCUUACCAAGCAAAAUGAAAAACAAUA